rnacentral:rRNA from 1 species
GGGGCUCUCUUAUGAGGCGGGCUGGACCUCUCGGGGUUACAGCCUUGCUGAAUUAUUCACCCUUGUCUUUUGCGUACUUCUUGUUUCCUUGGUGGGUUCGCCCACCACUAGGACAAACAUAAACCUUUUGUAAUUGCAAUCAGCGUCAAUAACAAAUUAAUAUUUACAAUUUUCAACAAGAGAUCUCGUGUUUCUGGUCUCUAAGAAAAACGCAGCAAAGUGAUAUAAAUAGUGAGAUGUGCAAAAUUCUGUGAAUCCUCAACUCUUUGAACGCAUUGUGCCCCCUUUGAUAUUCCAAAGGGUGUGCGUGUUAGAGCGUCUUUUGUACCCUCACUCUUUGCGUGGUGGUGGGCGUCGUGUCUCUAUCUUUGGUGGACACUCCCCUUAAAAUAUGUGGCACCCGGCCUAGUGGUUUCAGAGCACAACACAUCUCACACUCUCUAUCAACAAGUGUCUAACAUCCUUUACCCCUUUUUUUCAUUUUGAGACCUCAGAUCGUGUAGAGAUACCCGCAGAACUUAAACAUAUCAUGAGCGAGAAGAA